AUCCCACUUUCAAAGUAGUUCAUAUAUUUGUGAAGAGGUCACAGAGAUAGCAACACCAAUGUAGAAGCAAGUUGGGGAAUGAGUGGACCUAGGAGAAAUCCAACAGUGUAAAAGCAGUGAGUGUUCCAUUACACCUUCUCACAGGUUCAUUCCCUUGGGCUUAGUGCACUUUCUCCAAGGCAAAGGAUUCAUUUCUCUUCUUUCCUGUGACCCAAACUCAGGAGUCUUGGGAAGCUUAUUGCAGACAUUUCCAUCCAUUUUAGAGUUCUCUCCCUCAUCCUUUUCGGCCAUUCAUUGGAAGAGCUUCAAAAUUUCAUAGUUUCGGUUUUUACAUCACCUACAAUACAUAAAUCUUCCAUUUGCAAAUUUCGAUUCAGUACUCAUUCACCAUUCAAUAUUGG
rnacentral:lncRNA from 1 species